AUCUUUUCCCAUGAUGAGUAUGAAGAAUCGAUCAUGGAGAAGGUGUUCAAAGCAAAUUAGAGAGCAAAGGGGAAGGCUUUAUAUUAUAUGGAGAUGUGCUGUGUUACUCCUUUGCUGGCAUGACUAGAUGCUUUAGAGAUGUGGGUGUUGUAUAGUUUGGGGAAAAAAUAUACUUGGGAGUUAGGAGGGGAUUUUCUUUUUGUUUUUCUUUUCUUCAGGAGGUAGAAGAAUUUGUAUAGUUUGCUGAUAAACAUGAAUUGUAAAAGUAAGU